rnacentral:lncRNA from 1 species
AUAUAAAAUGCAUCUAGAAACGACCGAUCUAAUUAUUUUUCUUUACCGACAGAAAUAUAGCUAGUAUAGUACUAUUUGUUUUGUUCAUUUUUCAAAAAUAAAUGCUGCUGAAAAUGUAAAAUAAUAAGACUUCGAACUUCUGAUCUCGAAUACCUACCAUUAAAUCUUUUGCUACAUGCACUCGAGAUGGGUGAUUUUUUUAUUUUUUUGUUUUUCAAUUGUGAUA